rnacentral:rRNA from 1 species
GAAGACGCUGGCGGCGUGCUUAACACAUGCAAGUCGACGAUGAAGAAGCAGCUUGCUGUUUUGGAUUAGUGGCGAACGGGUGAGUACACGUGAGUAACCUGCCCCCUUCUUUGGGAUAACGGUCGGAAACGAUUGCUAAUACCGGGUAUUCACUCAUUCUCGCAUGGGGGUGGGUGGAAAGGUUUUUUCUGGUGGGGGAUGGGCUCGCGGCCUAUCAGCUUGUUGGUGGGGUGAUGCCUACCAAGGCUUUGACGGGUAACCGGCCUGAGAGGGUGACCGGUCACAUUGGGGACUGAGAUACGCCCCGACUCCUACGGGAGGCAGCCGUGGGGAAUUUUGCACCAUGGGCGCAAGCCUGAUGCAGCGACGCCGCGUGAGGGAAGAAGGCCUUCGGGUUGUAAACCUCUUUCGCUCAUGGUCAAGCCACUUCUUUGGUUGUGGUGAGGGUAGUGGGUAAAGAAGCGCCGGCUAACUACGUGCCAGCAGCCGCGGUAAUACGUAGGGCGCGAGCGUUGUCCGGAAUUAUUGGGCGUAAAGGGCUUGUAGGCGGCUUGUCGCGUCUGCCGUGAAAUCCUCUGGCUUAACUGGAGGCGUGCGGUGGGUACGGGCUGGCUUGAGUGCGGUAGGGGAGACUGGAAUUCCUGGUGUAGCGGUGGAAUGCGCAGAUAUCAGGAGGAACACCGGUGGCGAAGGCGGGUCUCUGGGCCGUUACUGACGCUGAGGAGCGAAAGCGUGGGGAGCGAACAGG